rnacentral:rRNA from 1 species
GUGAACGCUGGCGGUAGGCCUAACACAUGCAAGUCGAACGGCAGCACAGCAGUAGCAAUACUGUGGGUGGCGAGUGGCGGACGGGUGAGGAAUACAUCGGAAUCUACCUUUUCGUGGGGGAUAACGUAGGGAAACUUACGCUAAUACCGCAUAAGACCUUCGGGUGAAAGCCGGGGACCUUCGGGCCUGGCGCGGAUAGAUGAGCCGAUGUCGGAUUAGCUUGUUGGCGGGGUAAAAGCCCACCAAGGCGACGAUCCGUAGCUG